rnacentral:rRNA from 1 species
GGUGAAGCCUCUGACUGGGACUAAGUCGUAACAAGGUAUCCGUAGGUGAACCUGCAGAGGGAUCA